UAAGAAUCUUCCGCAAUGGGCGAAAGCCUGACGGAGCGACGCCGCGUGGACGAUGAAGGCCGUGAGGUUGUAAAGUCCUUUUCGGGGGGGGGGAAUGAGGUCCGCAGGGAAUGGCGGGCCGAUGACGUGAACCCCGGAAUAAGCCCCGGCUAACUACGUGCCAGCAGCCGCGGUAACACGUAGGGGGCGAGCGUUGUUCGGAAUCAUUGGGCGUAAAGGGCGCGCAGGCGGCGAGGCAAGUCCGGUGUGAAAGUGCUCGGCUCAACCGAGUGAUGCGCUGGAAACUGCAAGGCUAGAGUAUGGGAGAGGUAGGUGGAAUUCUCGGUGUAGGGGUAAAAUCCGUAGAGAUCGAGAGGAAUACUCAUUGCGAAGGCGACCUGCUGGAACAUUACUGACGCUGAGGUGCGAAAGCGUGGGGAGCAAACA
rnacentral:rRNA from 1 species